UAACACGUGGGUAACCUGCCCAUCAUAAGGGGAUAACACUUGGAAACAGGUGCUAAUACCGUAUAACAAUCGAAACCGCAUGGUUUUGAUUUGAAAGGCGCUUUCGGGUGUCGCUGAUGGAUGGACCCGCGGUGCAUUAGCUAGUUGGUGAGGUAACGGCUCACCAAGGCCACGAUGCAUAGCCGACCUGAGAGGGUGAUCGGCCACAUUGGGACUGAGACACGGCCCAAACUCCUACGGGAGGCAGCAGUAGGGAAUCUUCGGCAAUGGACGAAAGUCUGACCGAGCAACGCCGCGUGAGUGAAGAAGGUUUUCGGAUCGUAAAACUCUGUUGUUAGAGAAGAACAAGGAUGAGAGUAACUGUUCAUCCCUUGACGGUAUCUAACCAGAAAGCCACGGCUAACUACGUGCCAGCAGCCGCGGUAAUACGUAGGUGGCAAGCGUUGUCCGGAUUUAUUGGGCGUAAAGCGAGCGCAGGCGGUUUCUUAAGUCUGAUGUGAAAGCCCCCGGCUCAACCGGGGAGGGUCAUUGGAAACUGGGAGACUUGAGUGCAGAAGAGGAGAGUGGAAUUCCAUGUGUAGCGGUGAAAUGCGUAGAUAUAUGGAGGAACACCAGUGGCGAAGGCGGCUCUCUGGUCUGUAACUGACGCUGAGGCUCGAAAGCGUGGGGAGCAAACAGGAUUAGAUACCCUGGUAGUCCACGCCGUAAACGAUGAGUGCUAAGUGUUGGAGGGUUUCCGCCCUUCAGUGCUGCAGCUAACGCAUUAAGCACUCCGCCUGGGGAGUACGACCGCAAGGUUGAAACUCAAAGGAAUUGACGGGGGCCCGCACAAGCGGUGGAGCAUGUGGUUUAAUUCGAAGCAACGCGAAGAACCUUACCAGGUCUUGACAUCCUUUGACCACUCUAGAGAUAGAGCUUCCCCUUCGGGGGCAAAGUGACAGGUGGUGCAUGGUUGUCGUCAGCUCGUGUCGUGAGAUGUUGGGUUAAGUCCCGCAACGAGCGCAACCCUUAUUGUUAGUUGCCAUCAUUCAGUUGGGCACUCUAGCAAGACUGCCGGUGACAAACCGGAGGAAGGUGGGGAUGACGUCAAAUCAUCAUGCCCCUUAUGACCUGGGCUACACACGUGCUACAAUGGGAAGUACAACGAGUUGCGAAGUCGCGAGGCUAAGCUAAUCUCUUAAAGCUUCUCUCAGUUCGGAUU
rnacentral:rRNA from 1 species